rnacentral:rRNA from 1 species
UAUCGGUGUACGAUGGGGAUGCGUUCCAUUAGGUAGUAGGCGGGGUAACGGCCCACCUAGCCAACGAUGGAUAGGGGUUCUGAGAGGAAGGUCCCCCACAUUGGAACUGAGACACGGUCCAAACUCCUACGGGAGGCAGCAGUGAGGAAUAUUGGUCAAUGGACGAGAGUCUGAACCAGCCAAGUAGCGUGAAGGAUGAAGGUCCUACGGAUUGUAAACUUCUUUUAUAAGGGAAUAAGCCCUCCCACGUGUGGGAGCUUGUAUGUACCUUAUGAAUAAGCAUCGGCUAACUCCGUGCCAGCAGCCGCGGUAAUACGGAGGAUGCGAGCGUUAUCCGGAUUUAUUGGGUUUAAAGGGAGCGCAGACGGGUCGUUAAGUCAGCUGUGAAAGUUUGGGGCUCAACCUUAAAAUUGCAGUUGAUACUGGCGUCCUUGAGUGCGGUUGAGGUGUGCGGAAUUCGUGGUGUAGCGGUGAAAUGCUUAGAUAUCACGAAGAACUCCGAUUGCGAAGGCAGCACACUAAUCCGUAACUGACGUUCAUGCUCGAAAGUGUGGGUAUCAAACAGGAUUAGAUACCCUGGUAGUCCACACGGUAAACGAUGGAUACUCGCUGUUGGCGAUAUACUGUCAGCGGCUUAGCGAAAGCGUUAAGUAUCCCACCUGGGGAGUACGCCGGCAACGGUGCAACUCAAAGGAAUUGACGG